UUGGUGGGUAUGGGCGGUAUGGGAAAAACCACUUUUGCCCAACUAGCCUUUAAUCAUCAUGAGGUGAAAGAUCAUUUUGAAAAAAGAAUUUGGGUUUGUGUUUCCGAACCCUUUGAUCAAUGUAGGGUUGCCAAAGCUAUCGUUGAAGCUUUGGGAGUUCAUGAUUCCAACACUACUGAAUUGCAAAGUCUGCUAGAUACAAUUUGUGAAUUAAUUCGAGGAAAGAAGAUUUUUCUUAUCUUUGAUGAUGUGUGGACUGAAGACUAUGCAAUGUGGAAGCCAUUCAGAGAUGCACUCAAAAAUUGUGGUUCCCAAAGUAGUAGAAUCCUAGUCACCACACGUAAAGACAAAGUUGCGAAGAUGAUGGAAAGUGCAAAUACGAUCAAGUUAGAGGAAUUGUCUGAGGAAGAUUGUUGGUUGGUGUUUAGUAAAAUAGCAUUUGUAGAUGAGGAUCCUAAGCAAUGUGAGCAACUAGAAGACGUUGGCAAGAAAAUAUCAAAGAAGUGCAAAGGCUUGCCCCUUGCUGCAAAGACUCUGGGGAGUCUCAUGCACUUCAAGAAAAGUAGAGAAGAGUGGAACAAUGUUUUGGAUAGCAAUUUUUGGGAAUUAGAAGACAUUGAAAGAGGACUUUUUGCGCCAUUGUUACUUAGUUAUUAUGAUUUGCCAUCACCACUGAAACGGUGUUUCUCAUAUUGUGCUAUCUUUCCAAAAGAUCAUGUCUUUGAAGUUGAUAUGUUGGUAUCUAUGUGGAUAGCACACGGAUUUGUUGAGUCAAAGGGAAAUAUGGAGGUGGAAAUCAUGGCAAGAGAAUACUUUAAAAGUUUAGUCAUUCGCUCUUUCUUCCAAAAGGAACAUAUAUUUUUUGACAUGAGAUAUAAAAUGCAUGAUAUAGUGCAUGAUUUUGCACAGUCGAUUACUAAGAAUGAAUGCUUAAUAAUCAGUAGUGACAUAGAGUCAAAAUUAGACUUUAAUAGUGCUCGCCAUUUAGGAUUAGAAAUUCGAAAUGUAUCCCAAUUUCCUUUGUCCAUUGAUAGUGCCAAAAAUCUACGCACCCUUAUCAUUUUUAAUCAAGUUGGUUAUGACAUACCCAAUUUACAGAAUUUUAGACUUUUACGAGUAUUAACUUUGAUAAAUACUAUGGAACUUCCACACACAGUGGAAAAUUUAAUACAUUUAAGGUAUCUCACUUUGUUUGGGGGUAUUGAGGUAUUGUCUGAAACCAUUUGUAAUUUAUGCAAUUUACAAUAUUUGAAGAUUACCAAGGAUUUUGGUUCUGUCUACACAAAAUUACCUCAAGGGAUAGGUAAAUUAAUUAACUUAAGACAUCUUAUUGGAGAAGAUUUCCUGAUUCCAAGAGGGAUUGGAAGAUUGAUUUCUCUUAGAACAUUAAAAUGUUUCAGCAUAAGUGACGAGGAUAGCGAAGGAUGUAAACUCGGAGAAUUAAAAAAUUUGAACCACCUGCAAGGGAGUUUUGAAAUACGUGGGUUGGGGAACGUGAUAGAUGUAAGUGAGGCCGAGAAUGCACAACUUAAGAAGAAGAUACAACUUCGUGAAAUGAUACUAUCUUUUAAGAAAGGGAAGGAUAGAGGAUGGUGGGAUGAUCCGGUUCCAAAUGCGGUCGACCCCAAUGAUAGAAGAAUGGAGAGGGAUGUCUUAGUUUUAAAUGCCUUAGAGCCACCUCAAGACUUGGAGCAGUUAGACAUUCGUUGGUACCAGGGCACCACAAUGUCUCCUAAUUGGUUGAUGUCCUUGACCAAAUUGAAACUUGUUUCUAUCUUUUCGGCCACAAAGUUAACGAGUUUGCCUCCUUUGGGGAAGUUCCCGUUCCUCGAAUCAUUAACUAUAAGGAAUGUGUGUAGUUUGAAACAAGUGGGUGUUGAAUUUUUGGGAAUAGAAUCUGAGAACAAGAAAGAAGACAUAAAAAUAUUCCCAAAUUUGAAAUAUCUCAGGUUUGUGUGGUUGGAGGAGUUGGAAGAAUGGAUUGGGAUUGGAGGAAAAGAAGACGCAGACUGUAUUACUGUAAUGCCUCGUCUUCAACGGCUGGAAAUUCAUGGCUGCGGAAAGUUAAAGUCAUUGCCGGACUUCCUGCGUACAAUUCCAUUGAAUAAAUUGGAGAUCGCUGGCUGUCCAAUUAUCAAGGAACGUUGCCAAAGAGAGACAGGAGAGGACUGGCGCACCAUUUCUCACAUCCCAAUCAUCGAUCUUCAAGAACAUUCUUAUUAUUUAAGAUGACAUCGUAAAAACUGCGCAUGAGCAAAGUUCAUCCUCGGCUUGAUUCGGCAUUGCAAGUCUGAACCAGUAAAGGGGAAGUAUAUUUUGUGCUUGAGCAAAAUUUCACGCAUGGAUGCACUUUUGAGUAAGACCUACAGAAGAAACUUGUUCAUUUUAUUGUGGCAGUAAAGCUUGCAUAUUGUAUGACACAUAAAAGGUUGGAUGAGGAAGAGUGAGAUGUACCACCAAGGGCAGAGGGCACAAUUUGAUAAAUACUUGCUAUUUGCUGCGAUCUAUAGUUGCCUAUUUUGAAAAGGACACCAUAAGAAGUGGAGAGGAGAAGAUAGGACCAGUCCAAACUUCCUUGAUCUAGGCGCAUAAAUGUUGCUUCUUGUAUAGGCACUGUAACAGUUCUAUUUGAUGACAAAGAGUUGAUGUUGUCUUGCCAGCACCAAUAAAACUGUCAGAAGGAGUGAAUCAUUGUAUCAUACUACAAAUCAAAAUCAAAAUGGUGCUUUUACCCCUGAGAAGGUUCAAGUCCUUCAGUACUUGCAAUCUCAAAGUGGGACAUUUCCAGCAAGAUCAUUUUCCAAGAUGGUUUGUGUGGUACAGCUAUAGGUUUUCAAGAAAAGUUGGUUCUGGCAAGAAAUCUUGUUUGGAGAUUUAAGCUACCUGGUGGUUUAGAAGGAAAUGCCCCUUGGUUGAAACAGAGAAAGAUAGUUGUGUCUCGUAAGUAUGGACACAGCAUUGAAAAUGAUAAUCACUUGGACAGAGAUUUUCUUGUACAGCUUUGGGUUGCUGAUAGGAAAAUGAAAAAUUCUAACAGAAAAAGAAGGCGGAAAUUUGUUAAGUAUGGAAAUUUUUCUGGUACAGCAUAUGAAAACCAACAUGAAUAUGGAAGAUGGUAUUCAGGGGCACCUCUUUGCAGAACAGGAUUUUUUGGACAAGGGAAAACCAGUUUUGAAUCAACCACCUCUGAGCCAAUCUGACUCAGCUUUUCUGGAGCCAGAAACUCCAGAGGAGGCCCAGGUUGCACUCCUUCUUGCUAGGUCCAAUUUGUUGAUUACUAGGGAUAUAGAGUGGGCAAAUCUUAUGCUUGGUUUUGAGCAGUUGUAUCUUUAGAUUCUUUACUCUCAAUUCUAUUUGGUGGAACUGUUGGAAAACCGGUAUGCAAUUGUAGAUGUGUGCUACCCCAGUCACCUGUAGGUUUUAUUCGUGAGAAGAGUAAUCUCAUUGCCAGACAGGUGAUGAUUGUAUUGGAAAACAAUGUGGAUAUAAGGAAUGUUACAUGCAGCCAAAGUCAUGGAAUUAGCAUUUGGCAGUCUUAGCAGAGAUAAAUCCUGAGCCGGCAUUUCAAACAGUGAGGGACUCAAUCAUCAAACACUCUACUGAUGUUCGGAUUCAAAACAUGGCAAGUUGGCUCUGGUGUUGUAUCCAAAGUGACCUAUUCAAAACCGAAUUAUUUAAACCAAUACUACUGCCUCUGUGAAAAGUGCCCCAAUCAUACCUUUUCACUUAUGAGUUGUUUGGGAAUUGAUUUUUUUUUUCUUUUUUUCUUUUUUGUGGAAAAUAUAUUUGCUUAUUUACUGAAGAACCAAAAAAGACUGGUUGGUGAUGUUUCAGAAAUAUUGUUUGGAAAUGCAAAUUCAACUCAUUAUGCGAGGAUUACUUUUCUUGUUGGUAUAAUUGUCUUUUUUGGACUUAUUGAUGGAUAUGAGUAUAUAGCCCUUUUCAGUUGACAUAUUUUCACUUGAUGAGUGAAUU